rnacentral:rRNA from 1 species
UACGUAGGGAGCAAGCGUUGUUCGGAUUUACUGGCGUAAAGGGCGCGUAGGCGGCAGAUUAAGUCAGCUGUGAAAUCUCCGAGCUUAACUCGGAACUGUCAGCUGAUACUGUUUUGCUAGAGUGCGGAAGGGGCAAUCGGAAUUCUUGGUGUAGCGGUGAAAUGCGUAGAUAUCAAGAGGAACACCUGAGGUGAAGACGGGUUGCUGGGCCGACACUGACGCUGAGUGCGCGAAAGCCAGGGGAGCAAACGGG